rnacentral:rRNA from 1 species
AUACGUAGGGUGCAAGCGUUAAUCGGAAUUACUGGGCGUAAAGCGUGCGCAGGCGGUUUUGUAAGACAGUGGUGAAAUCCCCGGGCUCAACCUGGGAACUGCCAUUGUGACUGCAAGGCUGGAGUGCGGCAGAGGGGGAUGGAAUUCCGCGUGUAGCAGUGAAAUGCGUAGAUAUGCGGAGGAACACCGAUGGCGAAGGCAAUCCCCUGGGCCUGCACUGACGCUCAUGCACGAAGGCGUGGGGAGCAAACAGGAGUAGAUACCCUGGUAGUCCACGCCCUAAACGAUGUCAACUGGUUGUUGGGUCUUCAUUGACUCAGUAACGAAGCUAACGCGUGAAGUUGACCGCCUGGGGAGUACGGCCGCAAGGUUGAAACUCAAAGGAAUUGACGGGG